AUUGGACGCUGGCGGCAUGCUUUACACAUGCAAGUCGAACGGCAGCGCGAGCUUCGGCCUGGCGGCGAGUGGCGAACGGGUGAGUAAUGCAUCGGAACGCGCCCAGUAGUGGGGGAUAGCCCGGCGAAAGCCGGAUUAAUACCGCAUACGACCUGAGGGUGAAAGCGGGGGACCGAAAGGCCUCGCGCUAUUGGAGCGGCCGAUGUCGGAUUAGCUAGUUGGUGGGGUAAAGGCUUACCAAGGCGACGAUCCGUAGCUGGUCUGAGAGGACGACCAGCCACACUGGGACUGAGACACGGCCCAGACUCCUACGGGAGGCAGCAGUGGGGAAUUUUGGACAAUGGGGGCAACCCUGAUCCAGCCAUGCCGCGUGCGGGAAGAAGGCCUUCGGGUUGUAAACCGCUUUUGUUCGGGAAGAAAUCCUCUGGGCUAAUACCCCGGGGGGAUGACGGUACCGGAAGAAUAAGCACCGGCUAACUACGUG
rnacentral:rRNA from 1 species